rnacentral:rRNA from 1 species
UACAGAGGUCUCAAGCGUUGUUCGGAUUCAUUGGGCGUAAAGGGUGUGUAGGUGGCGCGCUAAGUCGGGGGUGAAAUUUCGGAGCUUAACCCCGAAACUGCAUUCGAUACUGGCGUGCUUGAGGACUGGAGAGGAGACUGGAAUUCAUGGUGUAGCAGUGAAAUGCGUAGAGAUCAUGAGGAAGACCAGUGGCGAAGGCGGGUCUCUGGACAGUUCCUGACACUGAGACACGAAGGCCAGGGGAGCAAACGGG